CCUUCCAUGCCAUUGAGCAACGGGGCAAGUUAAAAAUUGACUGUUCAGCUGAACUGCACGUCUGUUUUGCCCAGAGGUACAGACUCUCCUUUGCAAACAGGCGGUUCAGCACCCCGGGUGCACCCGGGGAAGCACCUGAGCACGAGGCCUGCCCACCCCAGGGUGGCACAAGAGGAGAAGUCAGAGGGUGCAGCAGCUCUGCUCGGGAGCGACAGGCGGUCAGCAGGAAUUAAAAAGACUUUUCUGCUCGCACAGCCAUUCGCAUCAGUCAUAUAUUCAGCCAGACGACAUGCCGUGCAAAACCACGCGCGUGGUAAAGAAGAGCAAGCGUGCAAUGGAGUGAAACUCAGGACCACGCUGCCUUUCAGGCGCACGGCAGCCGCACUGCAGAUGCGGGAGCCUGGCCGGUGCGGCGUGGGUGAUGGGAUGCAGAAGCUUCUCAGGUGGAUGCCCAGUAAUUGAGCUAAAUGAAGAGCCCCAUUAAUUCCUGGCAGCGAGGAGUGGCUCCGGGUGCCGGCUGCGGCGGGCAGCGUGCGGCAGUGCCGGCUCGGGAAACCUUCCACCACCUCCAGCCUGAUCCCAGUCCCCCGGCGUGGCGGGGGUCGAGGCAGCCGCUCUUCUGGCUUUAAGGGGGCAAUUAUUGCUCUUUGCCUGUAAUUAACGCGCAGAGCCACACGCACCCGCCACGGGGCUGAGCAGAGUCCGGAGUCGCCUCACGGACACCCGGGUUAUUUUGGCACAAAACCCCAGGGGUUACCUGAGGUCGGCUGUUGCAGACCAAAAUUUAGCUUUGCUGUUACUUUUGAAACCCUUUCAUUUUGAAUAAUGCAAACUAUUUUUAAUAAGAUAUUAAAGCUAAGUCAAAUACUUGAACUUGAAACGGUAUCCUAAUAUCUUUUAAUAGUUUCCCAGUGCUGAAUCAUGUUGCGUACCCGCCAAGGCUGCCUUACGAGCUGGG